GAUCAAAUCAAGCGCGAGAAGGGCGUUUGGUGAAUGCCUUGGCAGUAAGAGGCGAUGAAGGACGUGAUACUCUGCGAUAAGUCGUGGUGAGCCGAGAAUAGGCUUUGACCCACGAAUUUCCGAAUGGGGCAACCCACCUGACAGUUUCCUAUUGUUAUCUUCGGAUAAUCAAUAGGUGGCUGAACCAGGUAUUUUUAACCUGAAUAUAUAGGGUUAAAAAAGCAAACCCGGGGAACUGAAACAUCUAAGUACCCGGAGGAAAGGACAGCAAUAGCUACUCCCCUAGUAGCGGCGAGCGAACGGGGACCAGCCGAGCCAUGAGAGUGACAAGAAUUACCUGGAAAGGUAAGCCAUAGUGGGUGACAGCCCCGUAUUGGAAGCUCGAUUGGACGUAUCAAGUAGGGCGGGACACGUGAAAUCCUGUCUGAAGAUCGGAGGACCACCUUCGAAGGCUAAGUACUCCUUACUGACCGAUAGUGAACCAGUACCGUGAGGGAAAGGUGAAAAGCACCCCGACGAGGGGAGUGAAACAGUACCUGAAACCGAACGCCUACAAGCAGUCGGAGGCUCCUUGCGAGCUGACGGCGUACCUUUUGUAUAAUGGGUCAUCGACUUGGUCUAUCUAGCAAGCUUAAGCCGUUAGGUGUAGGCGCAGCGAAAGCGAGUCUUAAUAGGGCGUCGAGUUAGAUGGAUCAGACCCGAAACCGAGUGAUCUAGUCAUGUCCAGGAUGAAGGUAAGGUAACACUUACUGGAGGUCCGAACCCACACCUGUUGAAAAAGGUCGGGAUGAGGUGUGACUAGGGGUGAAAGGCCAAUCAAACUCGGAGAUAGCUGGUUCUCCGCGAAAUCUAUUUAGGUAGAGCGUCAUCCGAAUACCCCGGGGGGUAGAGCACUGGAUGGGUAAUGGGGCCCCACAGGCUUACUGAUCCUAACCAAACUCCGAAUACCCGGGAGUACUAGAUGGCAGACACACGGCGGAUGCUAACGUCCGUCGUGGAGAGGGAAACAACCCUGACCUCCAGCUAAGGCCCCUAAUUCAUGGCUAAGUGGGAAAGCAGGUGGGACGACCAAAACAACCAGGAGGUUGGCUUAGAAGCAGCCAUCCUUUAAAGAUAGCGUAACAGCUCACUGGUCUAAAUAAGUUGUCCUGCGGCGAAGAUGUAUCGGGGCUCAAGCCAUGAGCCGAAGCUGAGGAUGCACAUAGUGCAUGGUAGCGGAGCGUAGUGUGACAUAACACCUAUCCUCUUCUAUCGCAUCAAUACGCAAGUAUCGACGCGGUAGCGUAGGGUAAGGUGUUUUCUGUGAAGCCGGCCUGUGAGGGAUCCGGUGGAGAGAUCACUAGCGAGAAUGAUGACAUGAGUAGCGACAAACAGGGUGAGAGACCCUGUCGCCGAAAGUCCAAGGGUUCCUGCUUAAAGCUAAUCUGAGCAGGGUAAGCCGACCCCUAAGGCGAGGCCGAAAGGCGUAGUCGAUGGGAACCAGGUUAAUAUUCCUGGGCCAGUGGGAUGUGACGGAUCGUGAAGGUUGUUCACCCUUAUCGGAUUGGGUGGGCCGCUGAUCGGUUCCUGGAAAUAGCCCCACAUGAGAUCGUACCCUAAACCGACACAGGUGGACUGGUAGAGAAUACCAAGGCGCUUGAGAGAACGAUGUUGAAGGAACUCGGCAAAAUACCUCCGUAAGUUCGCGAGAAGGAGGCCCAGUUUCUACGCAAGUAUUGACUGGGGGCACAAACCAGGGGGUGGCGACUGUUUACUAAAAACACAGGGCUCUGCGAAGUCGCAAGACGACGUAUAGGGUCUGACGCCUGCCCGGUGCCUGAAGGUUAAAAGGAGGAGUGCAAGCUCCGAAUUGAAGCCCAGGUAAACGGCGGCCGUAACUAUAACGGUCCUAAGGUAGCGAAAUUCCUUGUCGGGUAAGUUCCGACCUGCACGAAUGGCGUAACGACUUCCCCGCUGUCUCCAACAUCGACUCAGCGAAAUUGAAUUGCCUGUCAAGAUGCAGGCUUCCCGCGGUUAGACGGAAAGACCCCGUGCACCUUUACUACAGCUUCAGACUGGCAACAGGACUGGGAUGUGCAGGAUAGGUGGUAGGCUUUGAAGCAAGGACGCCAGUCUUUGUGGAGCCAUCCUUGAGAUACCACCCUUCGCAUUCUUGUUGUCUAACCGCGGUCCGUUAUCCGGAUCCGGGACCCUCUGUGGCGGGUAGUUUGACUGGGGCGGUCGCCUCCUAAAGAGUAACGGAGGCGCGCGAAGGUUGGCUCAGAGCGGUCGGAAAUCGCUCGUUGAGUGCAAUGGCAGAAGCCAGCCUGACUGCGAGACUGACAAGUCGAGCAGAGUCGAAAGACGGCCAUAGUGAUCCGGUGGUCCCGAGUGGAAGGGCCAUCGCUCAACGGAUAAAAGGUACGCCGGGGAUAACAGGCUGAUGAUGCCCAAGAGUCCAUAUCGACGGCAUCGUUUGGCACCUCGAUGUCGGCUCAUCUCAUCCUGGGGCUGGAGCAGGUCCCAAGGGUAUGGCUGUUCGCCAUUUAAAGAGGUACGUGAGCUGGGUUUAGAACGUCGUGAGACAGUUCGGUCCCUAUCUGCCGUGGGUGUAGGAUACUUGAGAGGAGUUGCCCCUAGUACGAGAGGACCGGGGUGAACGAUCCACUGGUGGACCAGUUGUCAUGCCAAUGGCAGUGCUGGGUAGCUAUGAUCGGAAAGGAUAACCGCUGAAGGCAUCUAAGCGGGAAGCCCCCCUCAAAACAAGGUAUCCCUGAGAACCGAAGUAGACCACUUCGUCGAUAGGCCGGAGAUGUAAGCACAGCAAUGUGUUCAGUUGACCGGUACUAAUUGUUCGAUAGGCUUGAUUUGAUCCAG
rnacentral:rRNA from 1 species